GCUGCGCCAUCUAUAGCUGGAGUUCGGGGUGCCGCCAGCCAGUACAGGGUUGGCCGGCGGGGUCAGUGUACGGUGUUUCUGUGUCUCCGCUCCGAACUAUUGAAUAUACCUGAAGAACUGCGCGUUACUCCGAGGGCAAUGGGCAGAGGUGGUACAGCACAACCCGGUGCCACCCAGGGAGGAGCAACAGAUACCCUGCGUACCACCACCACCACCACCACCACCACCACCGCCACCACCGCCGCUAGUAGCCUCAGUGCCCUAGCUGCGGGGGACUUGUGACGAGGGGGGCGCCCCAGUGUGUGUUAUCAAUCCCCGCCAUCACCACCACCACCACCACCACUGUUACUACUCCUCAUGUGCCUUCAUCCACGCCCGACGCUUUGCUCACCAUCCGUCACCACCACCUCCACCGUCACCACCACCGCCGCCGCCGCCGCCGCCGUCACAGUUAUCACCACCAGUCCCGCGCGACGCUGAAUCAAUAGCAGUGUGUUUGUUUCUUCCUCUUCCUGAUCUUGAUUGUGAAAAAGAGAGUUUCAUCAUCAGUUUCCGUGCGAGUCGGUCUGCCAGUCAGUCUGCCAGUCAGUCAGCAGUCGUUGCUUACCGUUUGUCUGUCCGUCAGUUAGCUGGUUGGUGUGGUGGAGGCGGUGAUCAGUCUACGGGUGUUGCGCCGCGGGUUGGUUGGUGUGGUAGUGUGGUGCUGUGAUCGGUGAUCGUGGCGGCGCUGCGUCACGUGGCUGCUACGGAUCGGCUGGUCCUGGGAGAUGCCCGGCAGGUGACGCGCCCUUCCGCCCGAGCCGCCCACCGCCCUGCCCGCCGCCCGCCCACCCACCCCGGCCUCACAUGGCGCCUUAAGUGAAACCGGUUCUUCCGUGCAUGCGUGCGUGAGUGUGUUGACAGUAUUAGCUAAGGACACCACUCCCUCCCGAUGAUGGGUGACGGGCAGGAGGAUGCGGGGGGAGGAGGAGGAGGAGGGGGAGGAGAAACUAGUAGCGGAGGAGGAGGAGGAGGAGGAGGAGGAGGAGGAGGAGGAGGAGGUGGUGGAGGAGGAAGUGGUAGUGGUGGUGAAGAAAAGGGAACAGUGGACCUCGUGCCCACCACCUCAGCCGCGCCGAGCACCAGCAGCAUCGGCGGAGGCAGCGCCGCGGAGCACCGCCUGCAGGAGUUGGAGCGGCUGUUCCUGGCCGGCCCUGGCGAGGCGGCCGGCCAGUCCUUCUCUGUGGAGACGCUGCUCGACGUGCUGCUCGUGCUCUUCGACGAGUGCACCAACUCCUCCCUCCGCCGAGAGAAGACCGUCUCGGACUUCAUCGAAUUCGUGAAGCCAGUGGUGCAGCGGGUGAAGGCGCUGAGACUGACGCGAGAUGACUUUGAGGUGAUCAAGGUGAUAGGACGCGGCGCCUUCGGGGAGGUGUGCGUGGUGAAGCUGAAAGGCACCGACCGCGUUUACGCCAUGAAGAUACUCAACAAGUGGGAGAUGCUGAAAAGGGCAGAGACGGCCUGUUUCCACGAGGAGAGGGAUGUGCUGGUGUUUGGUGACCGCCGCUGGAUCACCAAUCUCCACUAUGCCUUCCAGGAUGACAACAACUUGUACCUGGUCAUGGAUUACUAUUGUGGAGGGGACUUGCUUACACUACUCAGCAAGUUUGAAGACCGACUACCUGAGGACAUGGCACGCUUCUACAUUGCAGAGAUGAUUCUUGCCAUUGACUCCAUACACCUGCUGAAGUACGUCCACCGAGACAUCAAGCCGGACAAUGUGCUACUCGAUGCCAACGGACACAUUCGCCUCGCUGACUUUGGCUCCUGCCUGAAACUCCAAGAUGAUGGCACGGUGCAGAGCAAUGUGGCUGUCGGCACCCCGGACUACAUUUCCCCAGAGAUCCUGAGAGCAAUGGGGGAGGCACAGGCUAUGGAGGACGGGCAGGGCCGGUAUGGACGGGAGUGUGACUGGUGGUCGCUGGGUGUGUGUAUGUACGAGAUGCUCUUCGGGGAAACGCCCUUCUACGCUGAAUCACUUGUGGAGACGUACGGGAAAAUUAUGAAUCAUAAGAAUUGUUUUGACUUUCCAAAUGAUCUAGGUUAUGAUGUCUCAGAAGAAGCAAAGGACCUCAUGAGACAACUAAUAUGUUCCUCAGAGUACAGAUUAGGGAAGAACGGCAUUAAGGAUUUCCAGAGUCACCCAUGGUUUAAUGGUGUGGACUGGGAGACAUUAAGGGACAGUAAAGCACCAUACAUUCCUGAGGUCUCUAGCCCCACUGACACCAGCAACUUUGAUGUGGAUGACUCUGAGACCAGAAGUCAGGAUGCCUGCCCACCUCCUGGUAACGCUGCCUUCACUGGUCUCCACUUGCCUUUUGUGGGAUUUUCAUUUACUCAGGGGAGCCAAAUAAGUGACAAAGGUUGCCUGUUGACCUUGCAUGCCACAUCGUCAAUCACAGUGACUGCCACCAUCGAUUCAUUAUCCUAUGAGAGGCGGAUCAAAGUGCUUGAGUUGGAGAACAGAGAAUUGCUGCAGAAAGCUGACAGGAUAGAUGGCAGCACCAGCCCUCCCACUAGCGAAGAGUCACAGAAGAUGGUAGACCAGUUACAGAUACUUAGCAAGCAGAAUCAAGAGCUCACACAUGAGGUGACAUCUCUGAAGAGGCGACUCUCUGAAGGUGACAGUGAAAUUGACACUAAAUUGAAGGACAUCGAUAGGCAGUUGAAAGCCUCAGUUCAAGAGAAGGAGAACAUGGGAAGAGAAAUGGCAGAUUUACAAGAGAGACUAAAUUUACAGACAAAAGAAUUGCAAGAUGCCCUGUCCCAAAGAAAGCUAGCCAUGUCUGAAUAUAGUGAAGUGUCUGACAAAUUAACUGAAUUGAGAAAUCAGAAGCAAAAGUUGUCUCGGCAAGUAAGAGAUAAGGAAGAAGAGCUUGAGACAGCAAUGCAGAAAAUUGACACCUUGAGGCAAGAUUUACGGAGAGCAGAGAAGCUCCGCCGAGAGCUGGAGAGUCGGUCUGAUGAGGCAGAAGCAGAGGCCACCAAGGAGCGCAAGCUAAGGGAGCGCUCUGAGGAGUACACUCGCAGCAUAGAGGGAGAGCUGGAGAAGAUGCAGCAGAGGCCACAUGGCAGGAGCCCCUCUCUUAACUCAAUUGAAGCUUCACAGGAGGUCUCAAGGUUGAAGUCUGAUCUUGAGCGGGUGUGUGUGGAUCAGGAGGAGCGGGCACAGCAGCAGGCCUUGCGGCAUGCCCAUGAAAUGGCUGUCAUGAAAGACCAGCUGUCUGAAGCAGAGUCUGCCAAGAACUCCUUGCAAAAUGAGGUGGGCAUCCUGACCAGGAAGGUGGAGCAGUUGAAGAGUGAGCUGGAGAAGCGAAUGGAGGAACAAGAAGACUCUGUGAUGGAUGUGAAGCGUCGCCAUGAAAGAGAGAAGACCAUGAUGCUGGAUGAAAACAAGAAGCUGAUCGGUGAUGUGGAGAGGCUGACAGAAAGUUUGAAUAGGAUGCAGAGUGAGCGACGGUCACUGGAAGAAGAGUAUGAUGACCUGAGAAAUAAGAAGGAGUCCAUUGCUCAGUGGGAGGCUCAAAUCACAGAAAUCAUCCAGUGGGUGAGUGAUGAGAAGGAUGCCCGCGGCUACCUCCAGGCUCUUGCCACGCGCAUGACUGAGGAACUGGAGUCCCUCAAGGUCUCUGGUGUGGUGGGCAGUGGCUCCUCCGUCCUCACACCCUCAGAGAGGAAUUGGCGUAACAGACGCUCUCAGAAACUAGACAAGAUGGAAUUAUUGAACCUUCAGUCAUCUCUUAACUCAGAGAUACAGGCUAAACAAGCCAUAUCUGAAGAGCUCAGCAAAGUCCGUGCUGAACUGGUUGCUGCACAGAAGGACAUGCGUGAGUCCAGACAGCGUUACGAGGGAGUGUCACGUGAGAACAUGCGGAAGGAUAAGCAGAUUCGGGAGUUGCAGACACGCCUAGAAGCUGGUGAGGGCUCUGCCACGCAGGAACGCAAGACUCGAAAGUUUGGCUCUAUUGGAAGAAAUAUGUUUGGCUUUGUUAUGGAGCGGCCAGCCUCACAGAUGUCCAUCCUAGAGCAGUUUUUGAAAGACAUGCCCCUGGGACGUGGUGGCUCCUUGGAAUCCGAGGAAGGGGACGUGGAGGACAACAGGGCUCCUUCAGUCCCCUCCCUAUCCUCAUCAAGGUCAUUUGUCAGCCAGCAGGAGCAGCUGGGUUCUCCAAACAUGGAGGGUCGCCCCCUGCCACCCCUGCCUCAGUCUGCCUCCAGCGUGCCACCUGGUGUGCUACCCACCAUGGCCCACCAGCAGCACGGCUCAGCUGCCCUUGGUCUUUCAGGGGGCAGCAGCAGCAGUGGUGGGGGGCCGUCACCUCACAUGAUGAAACCAAAAGCCCACCAGUUCCUUGUGCGUUCCUUCAGCAACCCCAUCAAAUGCUCUCACUGUACUUCCCUAAUGGUAGGCCUCACACGUCAAGGGGUGGUGUGCGAGGUGUGUGGUUUUGCUUGCCACAUCACCUGCAAGGAGAAGGUGCCACAGAUCUGUCCAGUGCCUCCUGAUCAGACCAGACGACCUCUUGGUAUUGACCUGACCCGAGGCGUUGGCACAGCUUAUGAAGGCUAUGUUAAGGUGCCCAAGCCUGGUGGAGUCAAAAAAGGGUGGUCCAGGCAGUUUGUUGUGGUGUGCGACUUUAAGCUCUUCCUUUAUGACAUAUCCCCUGAGAGAAAUGCCCAGGCCAGUGUGUGGGUGAGCACCAUACUGGACAUGAGGGACGAACAUUUUGAGGUGUCCACAGUACGGGAUUCUGAUGUGAUUCAUGCCAACAAGAAGGACAUCCCAUGCAUAUUCAGGAUGACCACAUCUUCCAUGGUUGGGGUGCGGCACCACACACUGAUGCUUGCAGAGACAGAGAAUGAAAAGACCAAAUGGGUUGUGGCACUGAAUGAGUUGCACAGGAUAUUCAGGCGGAGCAAACUACCCGAUAGACAGGUCUUCAGUGCCUAUGAGGUGGUUGAUGGCAGUGUAACACUGUUAAAGAAUGCUGUAUGUGGUACUGUCAUUGACCCUGAUCGGCUGUUGCUGGGAGCAGAGGAAGGUCUCUUCUGUGUUGAUGUUGACAACUGCGAAAUUGCCAGGAUAGGAGAUGGCAAGAAAAUCGUGAGUCUUGAGUACAUCGCAGAGGAGCAGUUGAUCAUGGUGAUAGCAGGAAGACAACGGCAGGUCAAGCUGAUUCCUGUGAGGGCCCUUGGUGGGGAUGAUGUGGAGUGGAUAAAGGUUUCAGAAACAAAGGGUGCCAUCGCUUUUACCACUGGAAAGUUUAGAUCUCCCACCAGUCUUAACUAUACCUACUGCUUGUGUGUAGCUGUUAAGAGACAAAUCAUUAUUUAUGAAAUUAAUCGAGCGAAGGGUCGACACAGACUCUUCCGCUCGAUCCUGCUGCCUCAGCCACCUCAGAGCCUGGACAUCCUGGGUGAGGGGCGGCUGGCUGUGGGCUUCCAGUCUGCCUUCACCAUAUACUCCAUACUGGGGGAUCAGCAUCCUCUGUCCUUAGUUCACCCUGAGAGUCAGUCACUGAGCUUCCUCUCCAUGAAUCAGUGCGAGGCUCUCUGCUGCAUUGAGGUGACUCGAGGGGAAUACCUCCUGGUGUUCAACCUCCUGGCAGUGUAUGUAGAUGCUUCAGGUCGCAAAAGCCGCGAGAAAGAACUCAUGUACCCAGCCUUACCUACAGCAGUUGCGGUGAGUGAUGGCAUGCUGUUGGUGUACAGUGACAUUCACAUUGACGUGUUUGAGGUGCUCUCUGGGGACUGGGCACAGACCAUCAACCUGAAGCGGACCAAACCCUUGAUGCGCACUGGGGUCCUCAACAUGGUGAUGAUCAGUGACCUGCCCCAUGUGGCCUACCUCAGGAACCUGCACAAAGAGGAAAUUAUAAGAACAAAUGUGGAUUCCAAAGGUCGACCCAAGUCCCGAAGAAAGUUCUCAAUGCGAGAAAACAGCAAAGCCACUCGCGCGCGGUUGAGGCAGUUGGAGAGUCGCAUGCUCCACCUGGUGCCGGCGCCCCUCUCGCGCCAGCUGACCACCACCAGCCACUCAUGAACUGACCGCCGCAGCAAACUCAUCUCAGGACCCACCAACUUUAACCACAUCACCCACAUGGGUCCUGGUGACAGCAUAGAGAUCCAGCGCCUAGUUGACUUGCCAUCUCGCCGGAGCUCAACAGCAGAACAACGCACACAACAAACACAGUCUAUCCACAGGGUGCGCAGUAUGCUCCAGACCAGCGGGAAGCUAGCGCCCCCUCGGCUACCCCAGGGCCCUGAGCCUCCGCGCCGUUCUUUUAGCCACCAACCUCUUCCCCAACCUCUUUAUUCCAAUGUUCACAAUGGUAGUGGGCCUCCGCCUCCAGUGACCACCUCUAUACGGAGGCCAGGCAUACCGCCAUUGCCCCCCACAUCUGCCGCCCCCCAGCACCUUCCCCCCCAGCGCUCACCUGAGGAACCACGCCACCAAAUCAUCCAUCAGCUGCAGGAACAGGAGUGUGGUGACACCUCCCCGCGUCACUCCAUUGCUUCCAACACCAGCAGCAACCUGUCUUCACCUCCCUCCCCGGGCCGGCCGCCAGACCACCACUCAUCCUCCUAUGAUUCCUAGGGUUGUGUCUGGCCUGGAGAGUAGCUCUGAGCUGAUUCCUCACAGGCUGGGCCUCAUGGAUCACCACAAUCCUGUGUUGAAAGUUGGUGCAUUAAUUUAUUACACAUUGGACUUUGUACCACUCAGUUAAAACGUAGAAUUGAUAUGAAAAAAAUAUACAUAUUUAAGCUUAUCAGGUUAGUUGAAUGUGGAAAUAUAACAGAUAAAAUGAUUGUCACAAUUUUACUCUCAACCAUUUGUAGGGCAAAAAAAAAUAAAUAAAUAAAAAAGGGUCACAAAUCAAAAACACAGCAGGACUUGUGGGUGUCCAGACCCUGGUGUGAGGUGACACUCACUGCACCUUGUGAUAGAGGCAAUACUUAAUCAAACACAUUUAUGAAAUGUAAGAAGUUAUAGCCUUUGUACAUCUUGAAGCAUUACCUCUCCUCUCUAACCGGCUGCCAGGUACUGUAACUGAAAUGCAUUAGUACUUACAAAUAUAUAAUUUAUGGAGAAUAGCAAAGUAUUCUCACGGGGAACAAAUACCUGGUUUUGGCACUUGUAAGUAAUGUUGAGGAAAGUCUGUAUUUUAUUUAUGAAGUGAAGUUUCUAUAGGUAAUGGGCAGCUAUGAAAAGGUUCAGGCUACCUGUUGGUGCUUUGAUUGUCUUACGUCAUAUAUUGGAUGUAUGAAUUAUAAUUAUGUAUAACUCACCUUGUAUAUGUAAGAUCAUCUUUGUUGAGAUUCUACAAGAAUUGGAUCAUCCCUGUUGUUUCAGGUUCCCUCAUAUACUGGUUGUCUUCUUCAAAAGCUUCUGCUAGUCAUUCUUUACUCUUAAGUGGAAACUCAAGCCCAAAGAAAUUGACUGGAUGAAGGUGAAAACUUGGGGUGGUGGCAUAUGGGGGGCCGAAUGUGAUUUGUGAUUGAUGUUUUGGGAGGGAAGUGGGGUAGGACACCAUAGCAAUACUGAAUAAAGUAGCUGUAAUAAAUGAUUACUGUGUUUGGCGAGGUGAGUCACUCAGGGCACUGGCUCACUUAUGUGGCUGACUGUAAUAGAAUAUAUAGGUAAUAUCUGCCUGUAAAUUAGUGCGGCUGUCAGAAGGUAAGCAUUGUUUGGAAAUUGUGACUGUUGGAGUUGUGGCAUUAUGUGGGUAUUGAAGCAAUGUUCUCCCAGGGUGUGUGAUGUGAAUGGCAAUAUGUCCUAUGAUUCUCUUAACACAAACUUAACUAAUCAUCUUUUAAUUUGGAAAUUGAGACAAAAUUUUAUUAUGUUGUGGUAUCAAGCUGCAAUAUUGUGAUUACAAAAGUUAGCUUUAAAAUUUAGGUUGGUUGAAGGUCCAUUGAUGUUUGUUAUGCUCAGAUGUUUUAGUAAACAGGAAAUGGCAUUUUAUGGGUGAAUGAAUGUAAAUUUUAACCAACUUCCAGGUGGGUGCACGUGAGAAGGCUGUAGUCUUGUGGUCAUGCUGUCAGAAUAGAAUGUUUUGAAUCUGUGGUAGGAAAUUAAAGACAGUCAUUAACUGCUCCAGGAGGGACACUAUAGUUUGAGAAUCAUUCCUUCAGUGUGAUCUGUACCAGAGUCAUACUUCAGAAUUGUAAAUGUGAUGGUAGUAAAAGUGGCUGGCCAUAUUUAAACAGUCAAGUUUCAUGUUUACAGUGGUGAAGUCAAGCCUUAUCAACUACCUAUGCUGCAGAUCCACUGAGUUUGUCUUAACAAUAUUUCAGUAACUAGUUUUGUGUUAGGCAACUUGCAUUAGUGGUCACAGUUUGAUGGUAAAUAAGUUUUCAAUUCAAGCUGUUGACCGAGUAUUUGGUGUGGUUGUGUUGAGACUCCUGCUAGGCAUCACUGCUGAAGCAUCAUGUUCAAAGGGAUUCUCCUUGCCUCUUCAGACUGGUCGGUCAGUCCUUCAAGUUUUGCAGUCAUCUCCAAAUUGCCGUGGCAUCUUGCUGAGGCUUUGAACACCAUGAUUCUGAAGCAUUGAACUGAUUUGUUGAUAAUCUUUCCUUCCCUUGCCCUCCUCACUUCCAAGUCUAAUGGUCAUGGAAAUGUUUCUUGACUCUUGUUUGUAACCGAGCAGUUAGAUAACAAUAGCAACUGAGUGACUGUUCAGGAACAAAGUAGCUGUAUGCAAAUUAUUCUUAGUUGCUUGUGUAUAAAAGCAAAUAAUUUUUUUAGUGUUCUUGCCAAUCCAGUGUGCAAGUCAUACCUCCGUUAUCUGUGACUUGCCAGUCUUGUCAAGGGUAUUUAAAAUAAUGUCCAGUAAUUUCAUAUAGAGACAGAACUUAUCUUAGUACUUUUUUUUAUGAAAAGUAUGAGUACUACUAUGCUGUCAAGUUAUUUUUUCUUGUAAGUACAAUCUGUAAAUAUGCUCCCUUAGCGAUUAUGUUAAAAGAAAUCUAUGAAUACUGACGUGUACAUUCAUACUUCAGCUCGUAUUGUAGUCAAUAAUUUAUGAUUGGAAUGGCUGCAUCACCGGCCCUGUGUAUACUAGCUUUUGUAAAAUAGACAUUUCUAGAAAUAUGGCAAUACUAUAAUGGGUGA